UACGUAGGGGGCAAGCGUUGUCCGGAAUCAUUGGGCGUAAAGGGUGCGCAGGCGGACUGGUGAGUCUGGGGUGAAAUCCCCGGGCUCAACCCGGGAACUGCGUCCGAUACUGGCAGGCUUGAAUCCGGGAGAGGGAUGUGGAAUUCCAGGUGUAGCGGUGAAAUGCGUAGAUAUCUGGAGGAACACCGGUGGCGAAGGCGGCAUCCUGGACCGGUAUUGACGCUGAUGCGCGAAAGCCAGGGGAGCAAACGGG
rnacentral:rRNA from 1 species